rnacentral:rRNA from 1 species
GUCCCUACGGGACGCAGCAGUGAGGAAUAUUGGUCAAUGGCCGAGAGGCUGAACCGGCCAAGUCGCGUGAGGGAAGACGGCCCUACGGGUUGUAAACCUCUUUUGUCGGGGAGCAAAGAGAGUCACGUGUGACUCAUUGAGAGUACCCGAAGAAAAAGCAUCGGCUAACUCCGUGCCAGCAGCCGCGGUAAUACGGAGGAUGCGAGCGUUAUCCGGAUUUAUUGGGUUUAAAGGAUGCGCAGGCGGAGGUGCAAGUUAGCGGUCAAAUUGCGGGGCCCAACCCCGUACUGCCGU